UACGGAGGGUGCAAGCGUUAUCCGGAUUCACUGGGUUUAAAGGGUGCGUAGGAGGGCAGGUAAGUCAGUGGUGAAAUCUCCGAGCUUAACUUGGAAACUGCCGUUGAUACUAUCUGCCUUGAAUAUUGUGGAGGUGAGCGGAAUAUGUCAUGUAGCGGUGAAAUGCUUAGAUAUGACAUAGAACACCAAUUGCGAAGGCAGCUUACUACAGGGACAUUGGCACUGAGGCACGAAAGCGUGGGGAUCAAACAGG
rnacentral:rRNA from 1 species